GCGGAUGUGGUGAAAUUGGUAGACACGCUGUCUUGAGGGGGCAGUAGCUCACGCUGUGCCGGUUCAAAUCCGGCCAUCCGCACCA
rnacentral:tRNA from 1 species